rnacentral:lncRNA from 1 species
UCAAAAAAGACGUAGACCUAACGCCUAAGAUGCCUAAGACUUUAGCGAUCCACAGUUGAUACACCAAGAACUCACCCCCAUCGGAUUUGGCUUCUCUUUCACAUUUUGAAAAGCUUUUUCAUCUUCUUCAACACUAGAAAACCAGGACAUUCCAUCACCAGCCCCUUAACUAGCGACACUUCAUUUCUUCAACUCCACCACCAAUUCCGGCCACCAGACGCCGCUGCUUCCCCCUUUAGAUCCAUCAUCUUCCCUUUUCACUAAAUUGAAUAAACAUACACAGAGAGCCACAAUCCCUCCGCCCAUUCCCUCCAUUUGACAACCAAAACAGCCGCACCACCUAGCAUGAGAGGAAGGGACGAAAAAUUGGAUAGAACCUCUGGAUAAGAACUAGGGACAGAAAUUUCAGUUCUUCUUCGUUUCUAUUUGGACUUCAAAUUUGAAAUACAAAAAUCAAAAAUAAUUUCAAUUUCUGUUUCGAUUUUCCUUCAAGGACUUUUUCUGAAAUUUGGUUUUGAGUUCGUCGCCGAUUUGAGCUGAGGUGCCGAUUCGAAGGUGGCUCGUAACUCUGUUCGAGUUUGAUCACGGUUUUGGAUUUUGCUUGUAGCUGCGCUAUCCGGUCCGUUGUAAUAUGCUGAAAAUUUCAUCAAUUGAAAGCUUUAUUUAAGGUCCAUAAUCUUCUCUUUCUCUUUGUUAUAACUCUAGUUAUGAGUGAUUUCAAAAUAUGACGUUGUCUCAUUCCUUCUAGGAUUCCUAUCUUUGUCAAAACACCAAUGAAGUUGUUGGAUUAAUUUUAGUUAAGUUUAAUUUUAGCUGAUGGGUAGUGUUCUUUUUGUUAGAUUUGAAAUGGAAAGCUUGAAUUCAAGACUAAAGUGUUAAAAUAAAAUGUUCCUUUUUUUGGUAUUCUGCAUUUUCUCCAUAGUAAUAAUACUUGUAGGCAAGUUGGAAUUUGAUAUUGAGACGUUUAAUUAGUAAAGAGUGUACACCAAAAUGAUUUUUUUUAAAUUGUAAUUAUUAUCAUGUUCAUCAGUGUUGUUGUUUUGUUAUUUUGAUGAUAAUUUUAGGAUGAUUCUUAUGGUUUGAACAAUUGAUUUGGUUAUGUUACUUUAGUAUGUCUCUGUAGUUUCUAAAAGAUACAAUCUUUUGUGAUGAAAUGACUUGAUUCUCAUUCUUAUUUGGUCACUAAUGAAUCCUGGUAUUCGCCUUUAGGAAGGAUUUUGGAAUAUGUAGUUUAAACUUCAUAAGCCUCAUUUGGUAGCUUGCAUCGGGAUUUUAAGUUGGUAAAAGAUGGAGAGUGAUUUCAAAAUAUGACGUUGUCUCAUUCCUUCUAGGCUUCCUAUCUUUGUCAAAACACCAAUGAAGCUGUUGGAUUAAUUUUAGUUAAGUUUAGUUCGAUUUUUUUUAUCUUGUUCCUUCUCUUUGCCUCUUGUUUGGGAUUCCAGAAAACGUUUUGGCAAGUUUGAAUUAGUCAUUUUCAUUAUGAAAUCUCUUUUCAUGUUAUUCUUUUAAUUCUUAGUCAUCGAGUCUUUAUAAAAUUCUUUAUAUCAAUUUGGAAUGUAUAUGUCAUUAGUGGUUAUGUCACUAAGAGUAUUUUUAUUUACGCUAAGGGGUGGUGAUGUUUUCCUUUCUUUGAAGUUUUGAGUUGAUGCAUUAGUACUGAUUUGAUUGACUGGUUGUUUUCAAGAUGACUUUUCUAAAAUAGGUGUAUAUUUAGGCUUAACAAUUUGAUUUUCUGUCAGAAGAAAAGGAAAAAGAACAAAGGAAGAGAAAGUGAUGAAAAGUUCUCUGCUAGCUUGAAUUCCAUUGAGUUGGUUGGAAAUUUUGUGUAAUAAUGGUUAUCAUAGCAUCUCAUGCUUAUUAAAAUCAGUGAAAUUUGAAUUUCGUUUUCAUAGUAGCCUACGUUAGUUCCCUAAGAGUCUCUAAUGAGCCAACAUCAUAUUUUUGAUCCACUUCUCAAUUAUGCUACACUGUUAUUGUUCUUUAUCUUAGCGUGCUUUAGAUGUUUCGGUCUAGUUGUUUGUUUUGUGUGGAUCAUUUGAACAAAUUAUUGUGAAUGAUAUUGGGCCAUAAGAUGAGUCUUGGACCAUAAGGAAUUUGGCUAAGCAAUAGAUCAUGUUAGCUAGCUUAUUUGCUUUUCAAUAAUUUCUUGUUCAUAAAUUUGGCAUCACAAUAAUCUCAGUGAUUAGGAAAAUAAUUCAACUGUGCGAGUUGCUUUAGGUGCGACUUAAUCUAUCAUUGUGAUUAUGUAUACGUUCGCGUAAUAUAAUUGCGAAUUUAAUUUUAAAAAAAGUAACUUCAGGGAUGCAUUCGCGCAACUUCAACCAAACUUUUCUUAAUAAAAUAAACAAAGCAUUAUUAAUUGUGGACACGUUCGCAUGACAUGAUUUUUGAUGCGCCAAAAGAAAAGAGUAUACGUACACGUAACUCAAUUCUUUAAUUACGAAUAAAUCAAGGGAUUAAAAGCGGUAAAAGAUGUGUAGUUAAACAAUUUAAUCCAAGUAUAAAUUACUAAGCGAUCGUGCUAGAACCAUGAAACCCGGGAAUGCCUAACACGUUCUCCCGGGUUAACAGAAUUCCUUAUCUAGAAUUUUUUGGUUCGCACACUUUUAAAAAAAAGUCGAAACUUCCUCGAUUUAGGAUUUAAAAUAAACCGGUGACUUGGGACACCAAAUAAAUUAUUCCAAGUGGCGACUCUGAUAAAUAAAUAAUCCCAUAUCGAAUAAUAUCACUUAAAUUAGAAAAACUCCUAUAUCCCCCUCGGGCGGGUAAAAAGGAGGUGUGACAACGCAGAAUAUUGAUAUGAGAAUGGACCAACGAGUAUUUAGUAAUUGAUUCAGGAAGAGUCUAGUUAUGUCUAGACAAGAGGAUACAGACAAAUCAGCAGAUUAUGCAAGAUAAACGUAGUAAACCCCAACACAGUGAAUUCAUUCUUGCAGAUAUGACAUCAUGAUCCUUGAGAAAUAUUCCGAUAGGAGUUGGGGUAAUUAAAGGUACUGUAUAAGUGUUACUGAAAUAAAAGAAAGUGCCACUGGGGAGACAGUAAAAAAAUUUCAGUUUAGAAGCAACCCUAUGAGCACCAGGGCGCGAAGGUAAGUAACUAAGGAUAAUUAUAGGCGAGUAAGAACAUCAAAGAUUCUUUCGCAUAUACGAUGUAAUAAGUUCGCAGCGUUACCGGAGUCAAAGGGUCUCCCUUAAGUACUACAAAGAAACACUACAUGAGGAAAUAAGGAAGAAGACUUCAACCUAAGCAUAAUGAACUAAAGAAAUAAUGGUCUUGUAACAACAUUCUCACUAAAACAUUGUAUGCUCUCCAUAGGAAAAUGGCACAUAUUGUGGCUAAUGAAUAGGAAGAAGAAGGAAAAAAAAUUAAAAGCUAAUAUUUGAGAUCAUAUGAUUUAUAAGAAAUUCCAGUAUUCGCGGGAAAUGAGAUAAACCGUGUAUUCAUGCAACCAGUGGCACAACAACCAGGAAAAGUAACUGCUUAUAUUUAAAGACUACUGAGAAGGCACGAAAGAAAAUCUAUGGUGCUAGCAUUUAGAAGGAAGAUAGCGAGUAGUAUAAAUAGAUAUGUAUAGGUCGCAAGCUAAAGUAUGGUAGAACGACAAGGUUUUAGGUAGAUUGGAGUAAGGAUAAGAAAAUGUGAGUGAUAAAGUAACAAGAAUAGGUAAGGCCUCCGAAUUAAGCCCAUCAAAACAAGAGAGCUGAUGGUUUCCCUAAGUUAUCGAAAGCUCGGUACAGCCUGAACGAACUCAGAGGAGUCUAUGACUAGGUGAAUAUAGAAAAGAUGGAAUGUUGCUCUGGUAGUAGAAUAAGGGUGUAAUUGUGAUAGAUAAGUGGAUGAUGUUUAGGAUUUUGAUUGAGUAAUGAUUUAACGAAAGGGAUUUCAUGAAUUGUACGAGAUUAGUAUACCCCCAUAAGAUGAAUCACAUUGGGAUGCUAUGAAAUACGGUUAUUGAAGUAUAGUAUUAUCCCUAGAUGGAUCAGGCAAAUAACUUUAGAUGUUCCCCGAUGAGACGUGAGCCCUAGUGACAAUGUAUUACGUAAGUGGUUUCAAGUUAUCAAUGGUAGAUUAUGGAUCAACAUUAAGGUGAAUCAACAACGGAUGGGAAAAAAUUACAAAGUAUGAAAUGAGAUUAGAUCGUCAUUCUUAAGAAGAAUAGUAAUGAAGCAGAACUAAAAGGACGUAGAUUUAUACAUAUAUGAUAAGCAACGAAAGAGUAACCUAGAGUUAUGUAGCACACCUCGGUAAUAAUAAGCUGGAGUAAGUGUUAUGGUACAGUAUGACCUACCUAGAUGCACUAAAUCCAUAAGGACAGAUAACCAAGGCUAUGAAACAAAAUAUAGCAAUAGUCAUAUAUUCGACAAAUUACUAAGCGAAGAAUUUCAGUGUACCUAUAGAUGCCCAGAUGGACUGGUUGUCAUAGUUCUGUAUAUGUUCACAAGGUGAGGCGUAGAUAUUGAUUAAAAGCCUGAGGAAAAAGGAAAGAAGAUUCACAUAGGCACUUACAAGGUCAGAGUUGUACAGGCUGCAUGAAAGAAGGUAGCAACAGUUACGAGAUUAGAAGAAUUCGGACAACAAGUCAUGGUGUGAGAAAGAGGCCUAAAGGGGGGAAUGCCCUAGCCUUGGGAUUUACUCACAGAACAAUUGCCCAGAUAGAAAGUACAGUAUUAAAGUAUUCAUAAAACCUAUAGGAUAUGAGACUGAUAAGCAUAACAGCCAACAUUCGAGGACGAAUAUUCCAAAGGGAGAGAAUGAUGUUACACCCUAUGUUUUCGUGUGCAAAAGUACGUUGUAAGUCAAUUGAUGUAAGCUCAGAAAUGAGAUCAUCCUUUAAAGUACAUAAGUAAGUUAAUCAUGUUACCUUGGGAGUUACAAAUAUUUAAUAUCAUGUAUAACAAGUACCGAGAUGGUUGGAAAGGCUUAGAAGCUAAACAAAUUGAAGAAAAUAAGUUUCGUCGAAAGUCGAUAAGUUUGGAAUGUUAUAACAUACACUUUGGGGUGAUACUAGGGUUAUUAAAAUGAUAAGGAUGUUAUGUUAUAAGUUAUUUUAGGAUUAUGAUAGUCGUGUGUUACGUUUUGAAGUCAAGCGAGUUGUGGAACAAAAGUUGGCAAAGGCCAUCACAAGUUAUAUUCAUAAAUGUGCUCAAAAUCAAGUCAAAUAUAGUGGAGCUUUUCUCCCAAUAUUCUUGGAAUUACGGGAUGAUACACAUAUCAAAAAGAAGAUCUAUGAGUAUAGUUUCUAACAUAUUAAAUGGUUUGUUGACACAACAUCGAAGUAGAGAGAUAUUUGUAGUUUCGCGAGCCUGCACAGACUUCAUAGGUGAGCAGUAGAUGUUUCACUAAAGCUUCUUGAGCAAUACAUUUUAUGUGUUAUAUGAGGUCUUUUUGGGACAUAUUUUAUACCAAAUUGAAGGUCUUGGAAUCUAGUUUCCAACGCUCUUAAUCAUUCUCUCAUACGACACCCGGGUAAAAUGUUAUAAGCGUUGGAAGUAGGACCAAUGCUAGGGUGCCAAGUAGCACCUUUUUUACUUUUCAAAAAAGGAAUAUUUAUAUCCUUAUCUCAUCUCUUUCUUCAAUUUUCCAGAGAACACGAACAAAUAAGACCCCUAACUUUACCCUCAAGCUCUCCACAAGGGGUCUCAACAAUAUUAUCAUCUAGGGCACGAAAUCAAGUAGCGAUAACAUUAAAACGAUCCCUACGACGUAAAUAUCGCUAUAUUGCCUCUCUUUUUCUUUGUAGUUUGAGUUUUGAAAGGUAUUUAAUAGUUAAGAAAAUGCCUUAUUUAUGUAUUUAAGCUUUUAAAUACGAAGGAAGGUUGAUAAAGUCAUUUUCUAAUAGCUAGAAUUCACAGGACGGUGAUCGGAAGCCGUGAGUUCGAAUUAUUUGAUUUUUUGUGGGCUGUUUUUGGGCUGUUUUGUGUUGCUUUUGGAUUGUAUAUUUUUCUGUUGUUUAAUGGAGUUUUAGAGGAGAAAUGGUGUGGGGAAACACCACAUAAUUGAGAAAUGGUGGAUUAGUCGUUCUUUGUAACAUUUUCAGCGUGUUUGCACUAUUAUAGUUGUCGUUUUGGGUAUUAUGUGAUUGGGGUGUAUUGAGCUGUUGUAAGCUAAAUGUAACAUGGAUUUAGACUUGCAUCUACUGUAGGAGGUAGUUAUAUUGUGUUCUUGCUUCUUCUUAAGAUUAUCUUGACAUUGAUUAAGUUAUAUGGAUGGACUAGACAUGACCUAGUGAAUAAAGUUUCUAAUUGAGGAUAAUUGGAGUUGUGGAUUAUUUUCCCUGUUAUAAAUGCAUGGUAUAAGGAUCGAAUCAUUGAUGAAUGAAUUUAUUAUCAUGUUAAUGGUACUAUUAAGUUAAAGUAAGAAGUUUAGAAGGGGUGAUACGGGGUAUACAAACUCCAAUUGGAGCUUGCCGCUCGUCAUGAAAUAGUUGUGACUUGUUUUUAUUUUAUGAUGUCUUGUUAUUAAUAAUUAUGUAUUGCUAGAUUUCUCUGGUCAUUGUUGUUGGUAUAUGGUAUUGGAGGAGACUCUUGUUACAGGGGAGAUACUGCCCAAAUUUACAUAACGAGCUACUAGUUUAAGUUGUGGACAUAGCCUUUACUCAACACUGAUUUUAAAUCUCCUUAUGCUAUGGUAGAUUGAGUUGAGUUGUUUGAAGAAUUACUUGUAAGUUAUUAAGGACUCAAUAUAGUUAAGGUAUGUUAAGGCUAUCCAUUCUUAUUUUUUGGCAUAAUCCAUAUGAUACAAACAAAAUGUGCAAACGCGAAACAUUCACAAAUGACUCUAUUUAUAGAAGUACCAAGGGUGCCUAUGUUCUUGAUUCCCCAUGUGUCCUAUUAUUUUAUCUUCUAUUCAUGAGUCUCAGAAAAAUACGUAAGUUGCUAAAGUUUAUCCGAAGGCAUAUUGAUCUUAUGACAUUCCGAGAAAUCUUACUGACUUUCUUCAUUAUGCAUUGUAUUUAUUUAUACAUGUACAUUGACCCAUGACCAAAUGGCAUUACAUACGUAUAUAUUAUAUGUAUAUGGGAUAUGGGAAAAGUUUAUGACGUUAUAUACGCACCACCACCUAAUCAAUUGGUAUAUGUUGAUGAUAUUGCCCACAACGGCCGAGAUGAUGUGAUGGGAUGCCCUUAGAGGAUUGAUGAUGCUAUGUACACAUAUACCUAUACAUGAUAUGGCAUUUAAACGCACAUGCAUGACAGUAUAAAUAUUUCAUGAUUCACAGAGCUAUUCAAACUUACAGUUGAGUACUUUACUCCAUGUUUCUUUCAUGUCUUUCAUAUACUACUUUUCAUUCCUUACAUACUCGGUAUUUUAUUUGUAGUGACGUCCCUUUUGCCUGGGGAUGCUGCAUUUUAUGCCCGUAAGUCCUGGAAGACAAGUUGACAGUCCUCCUAGUAGGCUAUAAGCUCAGUGGAAGGUGUUGGUGUACUCCACUUGCUCCGGAGUUUCCUAUUUGGUCAGUAUAAUUUGGACAUGUAUUGAUUGGUAUGUCGGGG